rnacentral:rRNA from 1 species
UGGGGAAUAUUGGACAAUGGGCGAAAGCCUGAUCAAGCCAUGCCGCGUGUGUGAAGAAGGUCUUCGGAUUGUAAAGCACUUUAAGUUGGGAGAAAGGGCAGGUACCUAAUACGUAAUUGUUUUGACGUUACCGACAGAAUAAGCACAGGCUAACUCUGUGCCAGCAGCCGCGGUAAUACAGAGGGUGCAAGCGUUAAUCGGAAUUACUGGGCGUAAAGCGCGCGGAGGAGGUUAGUUAAGUUGGAUGUGAAAUCCCCGGGCUCAACCUUGGAACUGCAUUCAUAACUGACUGACUAGAGUAUGGUAUUGGGUGGUGGAAUUUCCUGUGUAGCGGUGAAAUGCGUAGAUAUAGGAAUGAACAUCAGUGGCGAAGGCGACCACCUGGACUGAUACUGACACUGAGGUGCGAAAGCGUGGGGAGCAAACA